UUUUGUAGCUGAAUUAAAUGUUGCUUCUUCUCAGCAGAGCGAAGAUUGGGGGAGACUUAGGGAAAGAAUUCGUUUGGCCUGGGGUGAAUUGUAAUUAAGACAUCUAAUGCCUUAACUUUCCUUUUGUAACUUCGUACUAACUUUCCUUUUGUAACUUCGCACUAAUUGCCAUUGCUAAUUUUGAAUGUAACAGCAGUUAUCGUCAUUAAUGGACGACUAGUUUGUCUACUUGCGUAUUGAUUGACGUUGUCCUUAAUCGUCAAC
rnacentral:lncRNA from 1 species